CGCUUGAGGAUGUUGCCGGCUUCGGGCACAGGAUCUUGCAUGUACUGUGCGGCAAAUACCGCUUCCGAUACUUGUCGCUUCAGGUCCUCAAGAACAUCGAGUGGCUCCCCCGCCCGAAGCGGGUGGGCUUCCCUCCCCUCCUGGCUUCCGCCGAUUUGGAUGACCGUGUCGCGCGGCGCAAUUGCAGGAAGGACAAGCCCAUCCCAUUUGUUUUCGAUGAGAACCCCGGUGAGAUCUUCUUGAUGCAGACGUUGACACACUACAAAAACGGACCCGCGCCUUUUGUCAUUUAGGCGCGACAUGAGUGUGCCGGUAAACCAGUUAUUGGCAGUCUUCCGGCUAGUCUCCGAAUACGCCUCACUGGCGUUCAUUGGGUCAUCGACGAUCAAUGUGUCUCCACCCAAGCCGGU
rnacentral:misc_RNA from 1 species